CGAUCCUUCACGCGCAUGUUUACAAGGAUUUUUCCUAAUACAGUCUUUAUCGUAUUGAAAAAAAUCUUCCACGAACUCAGCAAACCUGUUGUCGACAUGUCCAAGCAAAGAGACUUUCUCACGGCUUGCUUUCUUUGGUACAAGGUGUUUUUGGUGGUGUUAGUCGUAUAUCGAGUCGCAAGAAAGAAUCGUUUUGAAGAACUCUUUGGAAUCACCUGUGUACGAUACAUACAUAAUAAAGCAUGUUACAUCUAAACAGCCCGACUAAAAGGUGAACAGGAAACAACGACAGCAAGUGCAAUGGCAGAACAACGAUGAAAUUGAAUUUAACAAAGUGAGCAUUUUUCGAGAAGAAUUUGGGUAUACAAACCGAUCAACAGCUAGAAAUUUAGAUAAACGUCAACGUUGAUGUUGGGAAAGAAUUUGCUGUUGACUGAACGAUAUUCUCAGCGUGGAUUGCACGCAAAUUAUUAACUGUCAAAGCGGAAUUAUUACGAAUUAAAUUACUACGAGUGAACUACGACAAGUGCCAUUGGGUUGAUAAAGCUAAUAUCGACAGCAGCCGCUAAAAGAAAUCUGCAUUGCUUAGCCGUAAGAAAACGUGCUGCUUUUGAAACACUUGUCUCUUUGAUUUUCUAAAGAAGACAUAAGUAACUAUAGAUGUUUUACUAAUGUAUUAUUAAACUAACAUUAAUAUAAAUGUAUAUAUUUGUGCAACUCUUUCACUCUAUAUAUGUACACUCCUUCUUCGUGUAAUUUUUAUGAAUGUGAUUUUUGGUUUGUUGCUUUA